rnacentral:rRNA from 1 species
CCUACGGGGGGCUGCAGUAAGGAAUAUUGGUCAAUGGGCGCAAGCCUGAACCAGCCAUGCCGCGUGAAGGAUGACGGCCCUAUGGGUUGUAAACUUCUUUUGUACGGGAAAAAACCACCGGUCGUGAAUCGGUGCUGAUGGUACCGUAAGAAUAAGCAUCGGCUAACUCCGUGCCAGCAGCCGCGGUAAUACGGAGGAUGCGGGCGCUAUCCGGAUAAAGUGGGUUUAGGCGGAAUACAAACGGAGUGGUGAAAGCCUACAGCUUAACUGUAGAACUGCCAUUGAUACUGUUAUUCUUGAGUGUUGUUGAGGUAGGCGGAAUGUGUCAUGUAGCGGUGAAAUGCUUAGAUAUGACACAGAACACCGAUCGCGAAGGCAGCUUACCAAGCAACAACUGACGCUCAUGCACGAAAGCGUGGGGAUCAAACAGGAUUAGAUACCCGAGUAGUC